rnacentral:rRNA from 1 species
UACGUAGGUCCCGAGCGUUGUCCGGAUUUAUUGGGCGUAAAGCGAGCGCAGGUGGUUUAUUAAGUCUGGUGUAAAAGGCAGUGGCUCAACCAUUGUGUGCAUUGGAAACUGGUAGACUUGAGCGCAGGAGAGGAGAGUGGAAUUCCAUGUGUAGCGGUGAAAUGCGUAGAUAUAUGGAGGAACACCGGUGGCGAAAGCGGCUCUCUGGCCUGUAACUGACACUGAGGCUCGAAAGCGUGGGGAGCAAACAGG